UACGUAGGGUGCGAGCGUUGCCCGGAUUUAUUGGGCGUAAAGAGCUCGUAGGCGGUCUGUCGCGUCGGCUGUGAAAACUCGGGGCUCAACCCCGAGCCUGCAGUCGAUACGGGCAGACUAGAGUGCUGUAGGGGAGACUGGAAUUCCUGGUGUAGCGGUGAAAUGCGCAGAUAUCAGGAGGAACACCGGUGGCGAAGGCGGGUCUCUGGGCAGUAACUGACGCUGAGGAGCGAAAGCGUGGGGAGCAAACAGG
rnacentral:rRNA from 1 species